AGUGAAGCGGCAACAGCUCAAAUUUGAAAGCUAGCCUUCGGGUUCGCAUUGUAAUUUGUAGAGGAUGAUUUGGGGAAGCCGCCUGUCUAAGUUCCUUGGAACAGGACGUCAUAGAGGGUGAGAAUCCCGUAUGUGACAGGAAAUGGCACCCUAUGUAAAUCUCCUUCGACGAGUCGAGUUGUUUGGGAAUGCAGCUCUAAAUGGGAGGUAAAUUUCUUCUAAAGCUAAAUAUUGGCGAGAGACCGAUAGCGCACAAGUAGAGUGAUCGAAAGAUGAAAAGCACUUUGGAAAGAGAGUUAAAAAGCACGUGAAAUUGUUGAAAGGGAAGCGCUUGCAAUCAGACUUGUUUAAACUGUUCGGCCGGUCUUCUGACCGGUUUACUCAGUUUGGACAGGCCAGCAUCAGUUUCGGCGGCCGGAUAAAGGCUCUGGGAAUGUGGCCUCCACUUCGGUGGAGGUGUUAUAGCCCAGGGUGUAAUACGGCCAGCCGGGACUGAGGUCCGCGCUUCGGCUAGGAUGCUGGCGUAAUGGUUGUAAGCGACCCGUCUUGAAACACGGACCAGCAAUGC
rnacentral:rRNA from 2 species